rnacentral:rRNA from 1 species
AUACGAAAGGUGCAAGCGUUGUUCGGAUUUACUGGGCGUAAAGAGAGUGUAGGUUGUUUAUUAAGUCGGAUGUGAAAUCCCGGGGCUCAACCUCGGAACUGCAUUCGAUACUGGUAGACUAGAGUUCGCGAGGGGUAAGCGGAAUUCCGUGUGUAGCAGUGAAAUGCGUAGAUAUACGGAGGAACACCUGAGGCGAAGGCGGCUUACUGGACCGAUACUGACACUGAGACUCGAAAGCGUGGGUAGCAAACAGAAUUAGAUACCCCGGUAGUCC